rnacentral:rRNA from 1 species
GAUGAACGCUGGCGGCGUGCCUAAUACAUGCAAGUCGAGCGAACAGACGAGGAGCUUGCUCCUCUGACGUUAGCGGCGGACGGGUGAGUAAAACGUGGAUAACCUACCUAUAAGACUGGGAUAACUUCGGGAAACCGGAGCUAAUACCGGAUAAUAUAUUGAACCGCAUGGUUCAAUAGUGAAAGACGGUUUUGCUGUCACUUAUAGAUGGAUCCGCGCCGCAUUAGCUAGUUGGUAAGGUAACGGCUUACCAAGGCAACGAUGCGUAGCCGACCUGAGAGGGUGAUCGGCCACACUGGAACUGAGACACGGUCCAGACUCCUACGGGAGGCAGCAGUAGGGAAUCUUCCGCAAUGGGCGAAAGCCUGACGGAGCAACGCCGCGUGAGUGAUGAAGGUCUUCGGAUCGUAAAACUCUGUUAUUAGGGAAGAACAAAUGUGUAAGUAACUAUGCACGUCUUGACGGUACCUAAUCAGAAAGCCACGGCUAACUACGUG